rnacentral:rRNA from 1 species
GACGAACGCUGGCGGCGUGCCUAAUACAUGCAAGUUGAGCGCUGAAGGUUGGUACUUGUACCAACUGGAUGAGCAGCGAACGGGUGAGUAACGCGUGGGGAAUCUGCCUUUGAGCGGGGGACAACAUUUGGAAACGAAUGCUAAUACCGCAUAAAAACUUUAAACACAAGUUUUAAGUUUGAAAGAUGCAAUUGCAUCACUCAAAGAUGAUCCCGCGUUGUAUUAGCUAGUUGGUGAGGUAAAGGCUCACCAAGGCGAUGUUGCAUAGCCGACCUGAGAGGGUGAUCGGCAACAUUGGGACUGAGACACGGCCCAAACUCCUACGGGAGGCAGCAGUAGGGAAGCUUCGGCAAUGGACGAAAGUCUGACCGAGCAACGCCGCGUGAGUGAAGAAGGUUUUCGGAUCGUAAAACUCUGUUGGUAGAGAAGAACGUUGGUGAGAGUGGAAAGCUCAUCAAGUGACGGUAACUACCCAGAAAGGGACGGCUAACUACGUG